rnacentral:rRNA from 1 species
AUUGAACGCUGGCGGCAUGCCUAACACAUGCAAGUCGAACGGCAGCACAAUGUGUAGCAAUACACAUGGGUGGCGAGUGGCGGACGGGUGCGCAAUAUAUAGGAAUCUGCCCUGAAGUGGGGGACAACCCGGGGAAACCCGGGCUAAUACCGCAUAAUACUCUACGGAGGAAAUCUGGCUACGUAAGUAGCUGGGGCUUUAGGAGGAACCUAUAUCCGAUUAGCUAGUUGGUGAGGUAAUGGCUUACCAAGGCGAUGAUCGGUAACUGGUCUGAGAGGAUGACCAGUCACACUGGGACUGAGACACGGCCCAGACUCCUACGGGAGGCAGCAGUGGGGAAUAUUGGACAAUGGGGGAAACCCUGAUCCAGCAAUGCCGCGUGGGUGAAGAAGGCCUUCGGGUUGUAAAGCCCUUUAGGCAGGGAAGAAGGUUUUAGGUUGAUAAGCCCUAGAAUUUGACGGUACCUGCAGAAUAAGCACCGGCUAACUCUGUGCCAGCCGCCGCGGUAA